rnacentral:pre_miRNA from 1 species
GGAUAAAUCACCCAGCAACCUUGUUAAAAUGCAGACUCUGAUUCAGUAGGUCUGUGGUGGGUCCUGAGAUUCUGCAUUCCUAAUGAGGUAUCAGGCAAUGACAAC